rnacentral:lncRNA from 1 species
AUUCACCUUGGCUCUGGCAAGGCUGGGGAAGAGGUGAAGGAAAGGAUGCACGGGGCACACAUUGUGCUAAAGUUCUUUGAAAAUGCCAGUUUAUCUACAGAGGCCUGUGAUUUCAUAAUUCAAGAAUAUUGAUAUAUAUGCUCAGAUGGUUUAGUUUACUUCUUUUCUGGAAAAUUCUAGAAUUUGCAGAUUCUCCUAGAGAAAGCAUCAAUCCUGAUGAACUUUUCAAAAUCCUCCAUGAACAAUAUAGAUAAUCUAGAUUCCAGCUUUAAAUAGCCUGAAGGAAUGAUUCCACUUGGAAGAAUGGGAUACUCACCCAUGCCAUUCCAUUCAGCCAACGGUCAACUUCUGCUCAGAAUUAGCUCAACUUUCUUCGCCCUCUAGAGCACUUAAAGUUACUCUUAAAAAUAUGUCCAGAGAUAUAAUAAUUAUCUAUAGGAGGUCUGGGUCAGUAAGAGAUCACUAGGCUAUACCAGAAUUCAAACCCAAAGUUAUAAAAUGUAGCCACUGAUUGUAUUUAUCAUUUCUCUCUUUCUCCUCCUCUUUUCUUCUUUUUUUUUUAAUGCUUUACUUGAUUGUAGAAACAAACUUUAAAGGAAGUUUGAUGACUUGGGAGGGACUGUGUUGUUAUUUUAGUUUUUCUUUUUUUCUUUUUUUUUUUUUUUCUUUUUUUUAGGGCUGUACAUGCAGCAUAUGGAAGUUCCCAAGCUAGGGGUCACAUCGGAGCUACAGAUGCUGGCCUACACCACAGACACUGCAAUGCAGGAUCUGAGCUGUGUCUUUGACCUGCACCACAGCUCAGGGCAAUGCUGGAUCCUUAACCCAUUGAGUGAGGCCAGGGCUUGAAUCCGCAUCAUCGUGGAUACUAG